CAAACAAACACAUAUGGACAUACUUAAGAGACAUUUAGUAACAACUCUAAUUUAAAAAAAAAUUCUUUAAAUUUUAACAAGUUUGUUGAUUUAUUAUAAAUGUAUCAUUAGGUUCUAUAAUUAUAUAAAGUGAGAAAAUACUUUUUGCCUGCUACAUGCAAUAGAAGCAAAAAAUGACUAACAUUCUCAAGUUUGUGUAUAUUAUGAUCUUCUUACUUUUCUUAUUUCUUGUUGUAACAGAUGCUAGUAAGCUUUUCUUAUUUUCAAGCUUUCUUUUUUAUCUUAUACAUAAUAUUUUAACAUUUUUUAUAAUAGUAUUUUAUUAUUAUUUUACAUGAUAGCUGGUGGUAAUUGUACUUCUCUUCUUGACUGUGUACAUACUCAGUGUUCAUUAUAUGCAAUGCCAAUUUGUUUGGAGGAUAAAUGCAUGUGUGUUUAAUUGGUAAGUUGGAGAAUAAUUCUUUUACUUCUAAGAAUUUAGUUUUAUUUUCAUGAUAUUCAUAUGAUUUUUUUUUACAAUUUGACUUAUAUUUCCCUAAAUAAUUGAUUUAUUUGACAGGACAACAAGAACCACUCAAGACAAAUGCUUUUUUUAUCAGGCAAUUUACCAUAUAUAUUUUCCAAUGCAAACAAAAUAAUAUAAUUUGAAUACAAAUGUAAUGAGUAUUGGGAUAUGGAUUCUUUUGUGAUUCUUGUUAUGUUUAUUUGGGAUGUGUUGGGCUAGUGUUUUUUAUUUUGUAGUUGUAGUUAUAUUCUUAUACUUUUAUAUUUUGGUUGGUGGAUGAAUAUUUAUUUUAUUUUAAUUGGUAGAUGGAUAUUUUUUUCAUAGAAAAUAUAACACCAAAACUUAUCACACUAUUGUAUAAUUAUCACACUAACAAUUGUUAAACAAUUUGUUAACCAUUCAUGAAAAA
rnacentral:lncRNA from 1 species